UGCGCUGAAGUAGAACUGUACGGGCCAACCCGUCAAAAAGUUUGUUAAGCUCUGUUUGCUGUACGGCUUUCCCUUCUUUUUAAAGUAGGAUUUCUAAUGUUUUGUCAUCUACUUCGAGCUUUCGAGUUGCAGCGAUGGGGACUGAACCGGAAUUGAGUAGCUGGACCGAUCUCCUCCACUCAUCCACGAAACUUCUCGAAGAAGUUGCUUCCUCUGCUCACUUCCCUCCUUUGCAGAGAAACUUGGAUCAAUUGGAAGAAUUGUCGAAGAAGCUGGAGGCCAGAACCCUAAGAACUGAAGCCCAUACAGAAUCCAUUGCCGCAACGAGGUUACUUGCACGCGAAGGAAUUAAGGUUGAGCAGCUUCCACAGGAUCUUAAGUCUUUUGAGUUAAAGACAACAUUUGAGGAUGUGUUCCCUGCUGAAGCAACGAGUGACGAAGAAUAUCUGCAGCAGAGAGCCAGGUCACCUCCACCUGUUGGAGAAAAUAUCCAAGAACAAUGGGAGCCGGCGCAAUGUGACAAUCGUUCCCCACCAACUGAGAUGGAGGGCAUUAGCGAUGAGGAUGAAAGCUCACGAGCUCUGUGGUAUCGAGGGACUUUACUUCGUGACACCACCUCCCACCUGUGUAACCAGGCAUGGAGUGGCAAGACCCCUGUCCAUUUCAAAAAAUACGGAUCUUGUAAACUUGUCAAAGAGUGGUACGACUCCCUAUGUGGCGCUGUCAAAAAGCGUAUAAGGGAUGCAGGCUUCGAAGAUUUUGCCCAAUUGGCAACAAGGUCCUCUGACCAUACACUCUUACAAGCACUCGUGGAGCGUUGGUGGCCUACCACCCAUACGUUCCACCUUCCUUUCGGAGAGAUGUCUAUCACGCCAAUGUGUUUUUACAUGUUCACAGGGCUAGGUUUUGGGGGUAAGCCAAUUACCCGUCAUCCGGAUUUGUGGAAGUACAAUCCAGAUGCCAUUGAGGUUAUGAUCGGUAGGCAUCCAGAUAAAGACAGAGUGUUAGUGAGUUGGUUCAGGACUAUCUGGGAGGGUAGACCGGUGAGUGAUGGGUCCUACAAAGCAGUGCAUGAUCAGCAAGCUCGUUGCUUCAUCAUGUACAUGUUAGGUAACACCCUCUUCAGCAAUAGCAGUAACAGGAUCUCGAUGAGUAUGCUUGCGUACUUGGAGGACCUGUCCAGGACUUCUGAGUUUGAUUGGGGAUCAGCGGGAUAUGCAUAUCUGUUACGCAACCUGGACCUACUUGCUCUGGCUCAGACCCAAUGCGUGAUGGGGGCAUGGUUUGUGCCCGAGUGUUGGUGUUAUGAGCUUUUGGGACUCCGGGCUCCCAAGCUAAAGGACUGUACCACCUUGGUUUUCCCAAGAGCCUGCCGUUGGUCCUCCACCAAUACUUGGCGCCACUCAGAAGUGAAUUCUGUUGAGAAGAUACGUGAUAUGAUCAACCGGCUAUCGCAGAAUGAGAUAAAUUGGCACCCUUGGGCUAAUAUUGAAGUAGGGAACCUACGCCGACUUGAAAUUGCAAAGAAGCUUGUACAGAAGAGGGUACUGUUUUGUGGUCCAUCAGGUUAUGCUUGGUACCUUGGUGAGCGAGCAUAUCGGCAGUGGCCUGGGAUUGAGCUUCCAUGCAUCCCAGAGCGUCCUCCCCGCUUAAUGUUAGAGCCUGAACGCCUGUCUAGUCAUGACAUUCAGAGGGCCCUAAGGGGGAUUGAUGCCAAACUCUUUGUCAAUCGAGAGACAUGGGGCAACUACUGCGAAUUUAUGACGAAGCAGCUUGUAUGCGUGGCGUUGACUUCAUCAGGCCUUCAGAAGACUUGCCUUCAUUGUGAUCCCUCUUCUCCAACUCAUCCCCCAAUGUCAAGUUCAGCCCAUCCCCUGUCGUCUAAGGAAACUGAUCCCAAUAGUAAUGCGGGGACCUCCUCUGGGUUGAAAAUCCCACCCAUGAAUGUCCAUCUUCCUGGCUACCCAGGAUGGAGUUUCUGGGAUGGGAGGAUCGAGAGACAUAUCCCCUGCCCUGACACUGUAUACGGUGUCCCGAUGACUUAUGAUUAUAUUCCGGGCCAUCGCUAUGAUGAUUUAAUGAGGAUGGUGUUUGGUCUCCGGCUUCUACAGAUUCACUCCAGCAACCGCAUCACUGUGUUGGAGCUAGAGAAUGCUAGCUACAGGAAAAAAAUUAAGGAGCUUAAGCUUGGGAGCGUAGAGGAGGGGAGUGAAGUGGAGGGGAAUGAAGAGGAAAACAGUGAUUGAGGUUCUGGACAUCAUUUUAAGUUGUGAGCAAGUCUAUAGCAUUUCGUAUCAAAAGGGUCUGUAAGUAGGUCUAUUUGUGGACAUUCUUCAAGUUGUUCAGGUGGAUGAUGCUCCUUUUAUUAAUUUACUGGAUAUUGUCUUGCAAAGAGAGACAUGUAUAAACUUUCUGCAGAACUUGGAUUUGUGGUACCCAUGUGUAGUAAGUUUUGGUUGGGGGAAGAUCAGGUCCAAUCACAGGAUCCAGCCUGACCAUUGUGUUAAUUGUUUGAAGGCCAUGACUACAUGCCAGCAGUCUAGAUAAUUUGUACAUUUUUUCAGAUAAUAGUAUCAUCCGUCAAGCAGAUAUUUGUUUAAAUAGGUAGGCCAUGACUACAUACCAGCAGUCUAGAUAAUUUGUAGAUUGGUUCAACUUUUAGUGAUGUUGUAUAGAGCCAAUUCCUAUCAAGUUUUUGUAUUUUCUUCCCAAUUUCCAUGUUGGUGAACAUAAUGUAUAUGUGAGUUUUUUCUUUGAAUGAAUCAAUGUUCUCGUUAGAAGAGUUCCAUGUUA